UACGGAGGGUGCAAGCGUUAUCCGGAUUCAUUGGGUUUAAAGGGUGCGUAGGCGGAAUGAUAAGUCAGUGGUGAAAUCCCAUAGCUCAACUAUGGAACUGCCAUUGAUACUGCCAUUCUCGAGUAUAGUUGAAGUGGACGGAAUGUAACAUGUAGCGGUGAAAUGCUUAGAUAUGUUACAGAACACCAAUUGCGAAGGCAGUUCACUAAGCUAUUACUGACGCUGAGGCACGAAAGCGUGGGGAGCGAACAGG
rnacentral:rRNA from 1 species